GCAGAGAACUUCCAGAGAUGGAUUGGUGCCUUCGGGAACUCUGACACAGGUGCUGCAUGGCUGCCGUCAGCUCGUGUCGUGAGAUGUUGGGUUAAGUCCCGUAACGAGCGCAACCCUUGUCCUUAGUUACCAGCACGUUAUGGUGGGCACUCUAAGGAGACGUGCCGGUGACAAACCGGAGGAAGGUGGGGAUGACGUCAAGUCAUCAUGGCCCUUACGGCCUGGGCUACGACACGUGCUACAAUGGUCGGUACAAAGGGUUGCCAAGCCGCGAGGUGGAGCUAAUCCCAUAAAACCGAUCGUAGUCCGGAUCGCAGUCUGCAACUCGACUGCGUGAAGUCGGAAUCGCUAGUAAUCGUGAAUCAGAAUGUCACGGUGAAUACGUUCCCGGGCCUU
rnacentral:rRNA from 1 species